rnacentral:rRNA from 1 species
ACGGAAGGCAGCAGUGGGGAAUAUUGGGCAAUGGGCGCAAGCCUGACCCAGCGACGCCGCGUGAGUGAUGAAGUAUUUUGGUAUGUAAAGCUCUUUAAGCAGGGAAGAUAAUGACGGUACCUGUAGAAUAAGCACCGGCUAAAUACGUGCCAGCAGCCGCGGUAAUACGUAUGGUGCAAGCGUUAUCCGGAUUUACUGGGUGUAAAGGGAGCGUAGGUGGUUUGGCAAGCCAGAAGUGAAAACCCGGGGCUCAACUCCGUGGAUUGCUUUUGGAACUGUUGGACUAGAGUGCAGGAGGGGUAAGCGGAAUUCCCAGUGUAGCGGUGAAAUGCGUAGAUAUUGGGAGGAACACCAGCGGCGAAGGCGGCUUACUGGACUGUUACUGACACUGAGGCUCGAAAGCGUGGGGAGCAAACAGGAUUAGAUACCCUGGUA